rnacentral:rRNA from 1 species
UACGGGGGGGGGCAAGCGUUGUUCGGAAUUACUGGGCGUAAAGGGCUCGUAGGCGGCCAACUAAGUCAGACGUGAAAUCCCUCGGCUUAACCGGGGAACUGCGUCUGAUACUGGAUGGCUUGAGUUUGGGAGAGGGAUGCGGAAUUCCAGGUGUAGCGGUGAAAUGCGUAGAUAUCUGGGAGGAACGACCGGGUGGCGAAGGCGGCAUCCUGGACCAACACUGACGCUGAGUGAGCGAAAGCCAGGGGAGCAAACGGG